UUGUUAGACAAGUUCAUUUACACCUCAUUCUUCUUUGGCCAUCUCCUUUCCAAAGAAUGAAAAAAUAAUAUAGAUACUUUCUCAGCUUUCUUUGUAGCAAGCACCGGGACUCACUAUUGGCCAAUGAAGUAUAUCCUUUCUUGAUACAAAGACAGAGGGUGCCAGCAAUUUUCUUUCCUUUUGCCUUGAACACAGAUGUGAGAUGUGAUGGUUAGAGCUGAAGUAGACAUUUUUUUUCAAACAUUGAGGCAAUAAGCCAUCAUGUUCAGAAUGGCAGAGCAAAAAGAUAAAAGAGCGGUUCUCAGACUAUCUGCCUUCAAACAUAUUGUCACCUGAGAAAUGCUAGCUUCUACUUCUUAAGUUACUAUUAUUCAAGUCUUGUCAUUUGAAACCACAAGUUUUCCCAACUGCGAUAUAGACACAGAUAUGGUUAGAGAGUAAGAGAAAGCACACCACUCCAAAACCAUUCUGAUUUUUCAUAAAAGAAAAGACAGCUUACUUGUUCCACAUAGUGAGAAUCUGUAGACUAAAUUGUCAUCUGAACCCAAAUUUACAUGCAUAGUAUCUUUAGGUUACUCCUUUGAGAGUUUAUGCAUUAAUAGGUGGGCAGACACAAAAGAUUUCAUGUCAACUCAUUUGUCCUGAAGACAUAUUUUUACUGUCUGUGAAUAAUGAUACCUAAAUCUAGAAAUCAUCUUGAGUAAGAUGAGGUUAAAAUACAAGAGCAAAGCAGUUGACAGAACCUCAGAUUAUUUGGAGGAUAAAUAGCUUUGGAUUCCAAAAAAAGCACUCUCAACUUCUAGAGAAUUAGAAAUGUAUUCUUGUUUUCAUUGCUGGUGCUGUCAAAACCUCAAUAAUUGGAUGAUGUAAACAACUCCCAGGACUAUUUUUAUCUCAGCUGCUCCCAGUUCAGCCAGGCUGAGGGACCCACAUGUCCAUCCAGGGCUCAGUUCUCCCUCUCUCCACUUGUUCCCUUGAUCAUGGUGUGCUUUCUCUUACUCACAGUGUCCUGGCUCUGAAUUUUUUGAUCCAUUUCUCAACUGACAUCCGCCUCUGCCCUGCUCCUCUGACUGUUGAGAACAUCCUGAUUCACCUUCUGGUAUUUUGGACCUCAGCUCUCUUAUAAUUGAUGAACUCAGUUUCUCUUCCAUUGUGACAGUCUCUUAGAACUCCAAAUUACAGGCCCAGCUCAGCUGGACUCAGAGAAGGAGGAACUCUAGUCUCCUCUUGCCCCAUUCUCUCUCCAUCCCCCUCACGCAGUGAGGCCAGAGGUAAAAGGACCAAAAGUGAGAGCUGUGUGGCUUUUCUCCUGGUCAUAAGUCACCUCUGGUUUCAUACUUUAGCGAGAUUCCUGAAGUAACCAUGCAGCAACUUCUACCAUGAUCUAUAUCAUGGGAUGUCUUUAAGGUUCAGGAUUCAAUUGAGUGAAAGGAGGUUUAGGAGAUCCUUCUGCAGGAAUUGAACAUGUGGGGACUUUUGUGUGCUCCCAAGUACUUUAACCAACUGCAAAUAUGUUCAAACUGUGGAGUAAUGAGGGCAGUGUCUACCUACUGUAAUUAUAUCCAUUGGAUACAAAUACUUGUCAUUCAGUGGGUGACUGAGCAGGUCUCUGCGCAUCCUUACAAGCAGCAUAGAUGAGCAGGGAAUGUCAUACACACAGGAUCACCGUUCACAGCGCUCACCAUCACCCUUUCUUCUCUGAACCCUCACUUUGUUCAUGUUCACCUCAUAUUCCAGGGCAGGUGGAAUUCUACGCCGGUGCAUCUUGAUUGAUCUAUAUCUCUGGUGACUCUAUUAUCUGGAGAGGUGAUUUACCAAGGGAUGGGUGCAUUACACUCUGCUUACCAGUGAGGUAAAGUCUGGAACUCAUGGAAAAGUUUUUCAUGCCAUUAAGAAAAUGGAAAUAAGAAAAAUACUUAUAGCCUUGUCUCUGAACAUCAAUGUGUGAGAAUGUGAUACUGGGAACAGCCAUCUUGUGACCCUGCAGAAGAAAAAGCCAAGGUUAUUGCAGAACAGAUGACAUCACUGAGUGACUCUCUGAACUUCCCCAGAAUUACCCCCAGCACGCAGGCUUCCUGUUAGCUAUCCUCCACUGAGGCUCCAGAGUCGCAGACAGCUGCUUGCACGCCAAUCCACCAAGAGGAAGAAGGAAGUGAUAAAGAAAAGUGCACCCCAUCCUUGGAAGAAUAUUUACUAGAAGUUGUGCUAAAAUGUAGUCACAUGACUGAACCUAGCUGCAAGGGAAACUGGGAAAUAAGUCUUCAUUCUGGUUUAUCGCUAAAAGUGAUCUGUUCUAUUAAUAAGGAAAAAGGAGAACACCAAUAUUUGGGCAUAUUAAAUUUUGCAUACUAAAUACUAAACAAAGGCAUAAAAAUAAUGAUAUUAAAGUUUAUAAAUGCAAUAAAAUAUAUUUUUAUUCAUGUAUGACUUCAGGGCAUUUUGACCUGUUCAAUAUCUAUGACUUGAAAAUUUUUAUUGAAGAUUUGUAUCUUAAUACUGCUAAGUGUGUUCUAAGCGUUUUAUGAACUUAUAAACAAAAAACAUACUCAUGCCUUUUGAAUAAAAAUUAAAUAAAUAUAUAUUAAUUUAUCUUCUGAAUAUUAGCAUCCUUUUAUGGGCCCAAGCUUUUUGAAAAAAAAAUUAGUGGAUAUAGUGUUAAUGACUACAACAUAUUACAUUUAUGUUUGUAUCCCUAUGUUUACAACCAACAUUGUAUAAAAUGAAAGUGAUGUGGUGGUGGUGUUUUUCAAUUCACAAAGAUACUUAACAAUUAUAUCAACAUUAUGGUUUUUAUUUUCUAUCCUACAGUGAUUUGAAAGUAAAAGCUUUUUAUUAUACUGAGCCUGCUUCAGAGAGACAUUUUAAGUCUCCUGGUCUCUCUUCGGAGAGACAUUUUAAGUCACACAUUUCUGAUUUUCAGUAGCUCUUGAGUCUAAUAAUAUUUGCCAUAAAACAUUUGGUAUAUUUUUACUUUUUUUCUUAAUUAGUAUUAAUCAGCUUGGAAUAAUAGAUCCAUUUUUUUAUUGCUUGAUUAAUUUCAUAAUAUGCAAUUAUUUUUAAAAAGCUGCUUUGACUGAUGCAUUUAUAUUUCUAAUUGACAUUUACAAGUAUGUAUGUCAUCUGUAGAUUUAUUGAUUUUGAUAUUUACCUCAGGUACUUUCAUAGAGUUUUACCUUUCUUGAGUUGUUUAUGGUUUAAAUUUCCACCUUCAUCAAUUGAAGUAUGUCAUUGUUUUGUUUUAUUUUAUUAAAGGAAAGUUCCAUUUUCUGACUAUCCACAUUUUAAGAUUUUUUUCCAUUGCCUCAUGCAUACUACUGCUCAAUUGGGGUACAAUAUUCUUGUAAUAUAUCCCAGAUACACUACUGAGAAAACUUAAAUGAAUCAACUAUUAUUAGAACCAAUACAGAAGUUUUGCAAUGUGGUUGCUUCUGAUAAAAGUAUGCAUAGCUGGCUUUCUCUGAAACCACAGGAACUCUUGUUGAGAAGUAUCAAUUGGAGGUGCCAUGAAUACAAAAUAUUUUUAAUUCUUUCUUCUAAAUAUCACCUCAAAAUUUGCCUUCCACUAUGCUAUAGUGAAUUUUCCAUCUGUAUUUUUUACAACAGUUGAGCAAAUCACGCAAUAUUUGCUUUAUUAAAAAUGUAUUUUGAUUAACAAUUCACUCACAAAUUUGAUUUAAACAACAACUUCCCUCUUCUUUCCAACACAGUUGAAUCAAUGGUGCUGAAGAUCUGAAGUGUGGAGUAAAUCCUGAUUAAAAAGGUAUCACUGACUACUAUGAGAAGAACAGUGUGGGUGAGUCUGGAGUAGAAGAAGGAAUACCAGUUAAAAGAUGGCAGUGAUCCAAGAAAGAGAUGCUGGUGGCCUGGACCAGGAUGGUACCAAGAAAGAUGAUGAUCAGGUGUGUUUCCAUCUGUCCACAUCUUAUGGUCUGCAGGAAUUCACUACUCAGAUCUUCAUCUGACAUGUGAGGCUCCUCUGAGAACGGGGUAGUCCAUGCUGUGCCAUGAGGAUUUCUCAAGAUCUUUCCUGAGCAACUGAUCCUUACUAGGGAGAACAAGAGCCAUCCUCUAAGGAUCCAACCAUCCCACCAAUUCAGCUAAGUAACUUCAACUCUUCUAUCUUCAAAAGGGAAGAUUUGUAAUGUCUGGAUCCUGGCAUCUACUUUAAAGGGACAUGGAGAGGUAUAAAAGUGGUAACAUAUGUGAAUUAUUUAGCUCUGAAUUUGAAAAGCAUAAAGGGAACAAUAGUGUGUUUACUGCCAUAUUCCACAAAGUCUGGAACAUCAAAAGGCCAAGUACUACAACUGGUUGUCCAUUCAGGAAGGUAUUGUUCUCUGUCUGAUUGAAAUAAGAAUAACAGUGGUAUCUCCUCUAGAGCCACAUGAAAAAAGUUGGGUUUCUGAGCUCAUCAAUGCCAUGGGUAAAGGAUACAGUCUUCUUUUGUAAUGGAAAUUGCUGAAGUAAUGUGGUAAAACACGCAGACAGUCUCCAAGAAGGCACCCACUGGGUUAGAGUGGGGUUAGGUGUAUGCAAUCUUUGAAUGUGGGUUUCCUCAAAUUCCUGGGAUUCUACAUUGUAGUGAAUAUUUUCUGUCCCAUAAAAGGUCCUAGGGGAAACCUUGAUCAUUCCCUGCAUCCAUACCACCAUUACAGUCAUUUUGCUUUGUGUUUUUUUUUUUUUCUUUUUUUUGGUCCAGAGCUUUAACCCAGGGGCACUUAACCACUGAGCCACAUCCCCAGCCUUUUUCAUAUUUUAUUUAGGGACAGGGUCUCCCUGAGAUGCUUAGGGCCUCUCUAAGUUGCUGAAACUUCUUUGAACUUUGGACUUGUGAUCCUCCUGUGUUAACUCUUUGCCUCUCAAUGACACAGUUUGCUUUGCAUAAUAUCAUUCCAUCAUACAGCAUCUUAAUCUGACCCACAAGUAAUUACAUUUCUAAAAUUUUUUCUCACCCAGUUUGGAAAAACUAACUCCUGGAAACACUGAUUAAUUUGUUCUCUCUGAGACCAUGUAGCCCUCCUGCUUGGAUAAACACUGAGAAAAGCUAGAGAGUGGCAGGAGUUAUGGUAUGCGCUUCAAUAUUGAAGACAUUGUAUUGCAUUAAGGCCGUUUUCUAUAUAAUGUGAGUGUGUGUUUAGUAAAGGCCUUUUUUGCUAGAAUUAUGGUUUGUAUUUUGUCUAAGUCAAUUGAGAUGUUAUGUAUAAGAUCAAUCUUUGAAAUUUUUACUGCCUAAGGUGUACCCAGUGAGGAAUUGUAACUCCUCUGCAUGUCCUCACCACUUUUAUUCUUUAUUGUUUAUUUUAUUUGGAAGAAUUUACUACCUGGGCAUGGUGGUCACAUCUGUAAUCCCAGCAGCUCUGCAGGCUGAGGCAGGAGAAUCA